GUAACUACCCAGAGUGGUCCAAGGAAGGAAAACCAGUGAAAAGAUGACAGGGUCAUGGAUGGCCACAGCUUGUUGAUGAGCGGGAGGAUGUUCUGAUGGACCAGAAGACAACAGGCAGUAUCAUUCCUCCUGACUGCUGGAGCUUGUACCACUGGAGCAUUUCUAACCUCUUCUGACUGCUUCAUGUUUUGAUGUCACCUGAGGUCACAUAGCAGCAAUACGAGGAGUCACUUGACCAUCAGGGCCGUCUUCUUCUGUCACCACAUCCAGAAGAGUUGAAUACGAAGCCUGAGAGACGAGGGGAAAAGGAAUUGAAAUCACAUCGCCAGCUGCAGCUGCAGCUCUGCCAGCCGCCUGCCGAUGCACAUCCUCUUUCCAAUACCGAAGGGAAGGUGGGCGAAGGGGUUGAUGGUAUAGUUCUCCCGCAGCCAGCGCUCAGGUUUGAACUGCUUUCCAUCAUCAAAGUACUCCUCAUUUGAGCCCAGUGCAUGGCUGUUUAUCAUCAAAACUGUCUGUAAGAGGGAGACAAUGAUAGUAUGAGUGAGUGUUUUUCAGUUUUAUGCAUUUAUAAUAGAUGAGUAAAAUAUUAGGAUAUAAUAAGAAUAUAUGUUGCCAGUCUGUGCAGAGCCGCACAGGUAAAUAAAUUAACAUAUCGAGAUUGAUUUUAUGUACAUUAAUGUAUGACUACAGAAUUAUCCAUACACUUCAAAAGCAUCAAAAGUUCAAGUACUCACUGAAGAGAAAUGAAUGUGAUAAUACGAUUUAUUUAAUAAAGACUCCUCUACCAUAGGGCUAAUCUUUGAAUGCAGCUUUCAGAAUUGUAAAUGCUAUUAACAGUUGCUCCAUUUAAACUGCACGUUAUGUGAACCUGUUUCUGUAACAUGCUUGUUUUAGGCGUAAGUCAAUUGUAAAUAAAUACAGUAAUGUAAUCUGCUCAUGUCAGGUGUAUGGAAACGUUAACUAAGCCACUUACUCCUUUGGGAAUGGCAUAAUCUCCCAACACAGUGUCUUUGUCCAGGGUUCUGCUGGUGAAUGGGACUGAUGGUGAUAACCUG